GAUGAACGCUAGCGGCAGGCUUAACACAUGCAAGUCGAGGGGUAUAGUAGCAAUACUAGAGACCGGCGCACGGGUGCGUAACGCGUAUGCAAUCUACCUUUUGCAGAGGGAUAGCCCAGAGAAAUUUGGAUUAAUACCUCAUAGUAUAGAACAAUCGCAUGAUUGAGCUAUUAAAGUCACAACGGCAAAAGAUGAGCAUGCGUCCCAUUAGUUAGUUGGUAAGGUAACGGCUUACCAAGACUACGAUGGUAGGGGUCCUGAGAGGGAGAUCCCCCCACACUGGUACUGAGACACGGACCAGACUCCUACGGGAGGCAGCAGUGAGGAAUAUUGGACAAUGGGCGCAAGACCUGAUCCAGCCAUGCCGCGUGCAGGAUGACGGUCCUAUGGAUUGUAAACUGCUUUUGUACAGGAAGAACACCUCUACGUGUAGAGUACUUGACGGUACUGUAAGAAUAAGGAUCGGCUAACU
rnacentral:rRNA from 1 species